GUUGACCCCAUUGCAGAGUUUUGUAUGAAUUUUUCUCCUUGGAGAAUUGAAAUAAAGCUAUGCUUUUCCUAAUCAGUAAAUGCUCAUUUUGAUUCACUUAGCCAGCUGAGGCUUCACAGUUAACCUGGCUUUGUGGAUCAAUCUUCUUUUGGCCAAAGCUGUGCAGUCAUUCUCUUCUGUCUCCUCCACAGGGUUCCCCUCUUGGGCUCUUCCUCUUGGGCACAGAAGAAUCAUU
rnacentral:lncRNA from 1 species